rnacentral:rRNA from 1 species
UACGUAGGGUGCGAGCGUUGUCCGGAAUCACUGGGCGUAAAGGGCGCGUAGGCGGCGCGGAUAGUCGGCGGUGAAAGCCCGGAGCUCAACUCCGGGUCGGCCGUCGAUACUUCCGGGCUUGAGCACUGUAGAGGCAGAUGGAAUUCCGGGUGUAGCGGUGGAAUGCGUAGAGAUCCGGAAGAACACCGGUGGCGAAGGCGGUCUGCUGGGCAGUUGCUGACGCUGAUGCGCGACAGCGUGGGUAGCAAACAGG